rnacentral:rRNA from 1 species
AACGAACGCUGGCGGCAGGCCUAACACAUGCAAGUCGAACGCUCCGCAAGGGGUAGGUGGCGCACGGGUGAGUAACACGUGGGAACCUACCUUCUGGUACGGAACAACCAAGGGAAACUUUGGCUAAGACCGUAUACGACCUCCGGGUGAAAGAUUGAUCGCCGGAAGAGGGGCCCGCGUCCGAUUAGGUAGUGGUGAGUACGGCUCACCAAGCCUUCGAUCGGUAGCUGGUCUGAGAGGAUGACCAGCCACACUGGGACUGAGACACGGCCCACGACUCCUACGGGAGGC